UACUACAGGGGAGACUGGAAUUCCUGGUGUAGCGGUGAAAUGCGCAGAUAUCAGGAGGAACACCGGUGGCGAAGGCGGGUCUCUGGGUAGUAACUGACGCUGAGGAGCGAAAGCGUGGGUAGCGAACAGGAUUAGAUACCCUGGUAGUCCACGCCGUAAACGGUGGGUACUAGGUGUGGGGCUCAUUUCACGAGUUCCGUGCCGUAGCUAACGCAUUAAGUACCCCGCCUGGGGAGUACGGCCGCAAGGCUAAAACUCAAAGGAAUUGACGGGGGCCCGCACAAGCGGCGGAGCAUGUGGAUUAAUUCGAUGCAACGCGAAGAACCUUACCUGGGUUUGACAUACACCAGACGCAUGUAGAGAUACAUGUUCCCUUGUGGUUGGUGUACAGGUGGUGCAUGGCUGUCGUCAGCUCGUGUCGUGAGAUGUUGGGUUAAGUCCCGCAACGAGCGCAACCCUUGUCCUGUAUUGCCAGCGGGUUAUGCCGGGGACUUGCAGGAGACUGCCGGGGUCAACUCGGAGGAAGGUGGGGAUGACGUCAAGUCAUCAUGCCCCUUAUGUCCAGGGCUUCACACAUGCUACAAUGGCUGGUACAGAGGGCUGCGAUACCGUGAGGUGGAGCGAAUCCCUUAAAGCCAGUCUCAGUUCGGAUUGGGGUCUGCAACUCGACCCCAUGAAGUCGGAGUCGCUAGUAAUCGCAGAUCAGCAACGCUGCGGUGAAUACGUUCCCGGGCCUUGUACACACCGCCCGUCACGUCAUGAAAGUCGGUAACACCCGAAGCCGGUGGCCUAACCCUUGUGGAGGGAGCUGUCGUAUAUGUAUAACCCCAGUUCCC
rnacentral:rRNA from 1 species